UACGAAGGGGGCUAGCGUUGCUCGGAAUCACUGGGCGUAAAGGGUGCGCAGGCGGCCAUGCAAGACAGAUGUGAAAUCCCCGGGCUCAACCUGGGAACUGCAUUUGUGACUGCAUGGCUAGAGUACGGUAGAGGGGGAUGGAAUUCCGCGUGUAGCAGUGAAAUGCGUAGAUAUGCGGAGGAACACCGAUGGCGAAGGCAAUCCCCUGGACCUGUACUGACGCUCAUGCACGAAAGCGUGGGGAGCAAACGAGG
rnacentral:rRNA from 1 species